CUCUACCACCUAAACACCUCACAAUAUAGUAAUGAAUUACAAUAUAAAUGUAUAAACUAAAUCAUUCUUUUACCUAAGUAUGGGAGACAGAAAGGGUUAAAACCUGAAGCAAUAGAAAGAGUACCGCAGGGGAAAGCUGAAAGAGAAAUGAAAUAACCCAUUAAAGCGAAAAGAAGCAAGAUUAAACUCU
rnacentral:rRNA from 1 species